rnacentral:rRNA from 1 species
UACGUAGGGUGCAAGCGUUAAUCGGAAUUACUGGGCGUAAAGCGUGCGCAGGCGGUUAUGUAAGACAGGUGUGAAAUCCCCGGGCUUAACCUGGGAACUGCAUUUGUGACUGCAUAGCUAGAGUACGGUAGAGGGGGAUGGAAUUCUGCGUGUAGCAGUGAAAUGCGUAGAUAUGUGGAGGAACACCUGUGGCGAAGGCGCCUUGCUGGCCAAUUUCUGACGCUGAGGCGCGAAAGCGUGGGGAGCAAACAGG